rnacentral:rRNA from 1 species
ACUCCUACGGGAGGCAGCAGUAGGGAAUCUUCCACAAUGGGCGCAAGCCUGAUGGAGCAACACCGCGUGAGUGAAGAAGGGUUUCGGCUCGUAAAGCUCUGUUGUUAAAGAAGAACACGUAUGAGAGUAACUGUUCAUACGUUGACGGUAUUUAACCAGAAAGUCACGGCUAACUACGUGCCAGCAGCCGCGGUAAUACGUAGGUGGCAAGCGUUAUCCGGAUUUAUUGGGGCGUAAAGAGAGUGCAGGCGGUUUUCUAAGUCUGAUGUGAAAGCCUUCGGCUUAACCGGAGAAGUGCAUCGGAAACUGGAUAACUUGAGUGCAGAAGAGGGUAGUGGAACUCCAUGUGUAGCGGUGGAAUGCGUAGAUAUAUGGAAGAACACCAGUGGCGAAGGCGGCUACCUGGUCUGCAACUGACGCUGAGACUCGAAAGCAUGGGUAGCGAACAGGAUUAGAUACCCUGGUAGGAUAGGG